CCUACGGGUGGCAGCAGUAGGGAAUUUUUCACAAUGGGCGAAAGCCUGAUGGAGCAACGCCGCGUGCAGGAUGAAGGCCUUCGGGUUGUAAACUGCUUUUAUAAGCGAGAAAUAUGAUGGUAACUUAUGAAUAAGGAUCGGCUAACUACGUGCCAGCAGCCGCGGUCAUACGUAGGAUCCGAGCAUUAUCCGGAGUGACUGGGUGUAAAGAGUUGCGUAGGUGGCAUAAUAAGUAGCUAGUGAAAUCUGGUGGCUCAACCAUUCAGACUAUUAGCUAAACUGUUAAGCUCGAGACCGUUAGGGGUAACUGGAAUUUCUGGUGUAGGGGUGAAAUCCGUAGAUAUUAGAAGGAACACCAAUAGCGUAGGCAGGUUGCUGGGACGGUUCUGACACUAAGGCACGAAAGCGUAGGGAGCAAACGGGAUUAGAUACCCGAGUAGUC
rnacentral:rRNA from 1 species